rnacentral:RNase_P_RNA from 1 species
AAAGUAAAUAUCUUUAUCGCAUAAUUUUUUAAAUAAAAUUAUGAGGAAAGUCUGGACACUAAAGAGAAAAUACAACGGAUAAUAUCCGUCCAUCGUAAGAUGAGGAAAAGUGCAACAGAAAGUAUGUAUAGUAUAAUUUUAAAAAAUUAUAUUUUAUAGUGAAAUCAUGUAAACUCUGUAUAGUGAAAUGUCAUAAAAGUUUUACCAUUUUCUCUAUAUAAUAAAUGGUUGGUAGACAGAUAAUGAUAUAUAUGGUAACAUAUAUACUAGAUAAAUGAUAAAGGAUAUAUAAAAUAAAUUAUAUAUUACAGAAUCCGGCUUAUAUAUUUACUUUAUUU